rnacentral:piRNA from 1 species
UGAGAGCUGGAGUCAGUGUGGUGUGU